AGUGGCGAACGGGUGAGUAAUACGUGAGUGACCUACCUUUGACUCUGGGAUAAGCCUGGGAAACUGGGUCUAAUACCGGAUACGACCAAUCUCCGCAUGGGGUGUUGGUGGAAAGCGUUAUGGAGUGGUUUUAGAUGGGCUCACGGCCUAUCAGCUUGUUGGUGAGGUAAUGGCUUACCAAGGCGACGACGGGUAGCCGGCCUGAGAGGGUGACCGGCCACACUGGGACUGAGACACGGCCCAG
rnacentral:rRNA from 1 species